ensembl:processed_transcript
GCGUAGACAGACAGCAGCCGGUCCUGCAGCCCUCACUCCCCGAGGAUCCAUUUGGCUCUGUGCCCUUCCUGGCCAACGCAGGCAAGAGCCGGUGUGCUGACAGCAGAGAAUCCAGUGGAGAACCCCAGUGUUUCUGUUCAAGACACCACCCCGCCACUGGCCAAAGAGCGCAAACCUGCAAAGAAAAGCAGCUCCACUGGUUCCCUGCCUCAAAAAGCCCGCGAGGACUCAGACAGUGAUUUUGAGUCUGAUCCUCCCUCUCCCAAAAGCAGUGAAGAUGAGGAGGUGGAAGAAGAGGAAGCUCUCAACAGCGAACAUGAAGACACCGAGCCUGAAAACCUGGGACAGAGGCCUCUGCUCAUGGACUCUGAAGACGAGAUAGAAGAAGAGGAGGACAAACACAGCUCAGACUCCGACUGUGACUCUAGAAAAGCGAAACUCUCAGAGGUCCCGCCUGCUGUUGAAUCUGGAGCCAGCGUGAUCACUCCCCCCAUUUCACCAAGCGCCUCCAUGACUGCCAAAAACCUAGUGGAUGUGUUUGGUGCUGUUCCUUUUGUUGGCAGCGGUCAGGCACCGGAGAGCUCUGAUAUUUUUGCCAAAGCCCCUUUCAGGCAGGCUAGCCAGGAGAACGCCUUAGAAGAGACUGACGUUUUCACCAAAGCUCCUUUCAGUAGAAACCUCUCCAGAUCCAGCAGGAGCGGCGAUGGACCCGGCGGCCAGACACCACCCAUUUCCCCCGACAGCGUGGAUGUAUUCGGAUUCUCACCUUUCCACAUCAUACCCACCUCCGGGACCCAGGAGGACGUUUUUGACCAAGCCUCUUUGGACGAAUCAGCGAGUCCUCAGCAGCAGAGGCAGAAGCAGCGCAGCCUUCAGAAACUCUCCUCACGGCAAAGGCGCACCAAACAGGAGGCCAGUAGCACCAACGGAAAGCGACACCACGGGACGCCAACCGGUGGCAGAAAGACCAACAAGCCUAGCUUCCGCACUCCUGAGCGGGUACGAAGGCACAAGAAAGUCGGCAGACGGGACUCUCAGAGCAGCAAUGAGUUCCUCAGCACAUCCGACUCCAAAGAGAACAUCAGUAUUUCCCUGGGCGAGGUGAUGGAGAAAGCAGUUGCUCUGCCCUCGGAGGAGGUUUCGCUGGAUCCUUUUGGAGCCAAGCCUUUCCAUCCGCAAGAUGGUAGUCGACACCAGAGCUUGGGAGAUGGAAAAAGUGAGAUCAACUCGAAUAACGGCAGGCCGAGGACCAGCUCGCUGCACAGUGUGUUUGAUGGAAACAAGAUGGAUGACUUUGGAGCUGUGCCUUUCACAGAACUGGUGGUCCAAAGCGGAGCUCCGCAAACCCCUCAGAUAGAUCUUGACCCAUUCGGAGCCGCACCUUUCCCCUCAAAGCAGUGAAUGUCUCGUCUUCCAACACACAAGAGACUGAACACAAACACACACCUACACAUGCAUUGCUACAUUAUGCAAAGUCCGAGCAGCCUUUGGAGAAGUCUUUAGUGGACGACAGUGAUGUGAUCUCUGUCUGUGCUGCCCAUUGGGAUGUAGGCCUUUCAAUUAGAUGUUCAACUUUUGUAGGUUUUUUUUUAAUUUUUUUUUUUUUUUAAGUAUUUUAAUAUCUAACUGGACAGCAGUAACAGUUUUUGUUUUCAUUUGGUGACUUAAACCUGUGGUUUAUGAGUGCUUU